AAUGAACGCUGGCGGCAUGCCUAACACAUGCAAGUCGAACGCUAAGCAGACUUCGGUCUGUGGAGAGUGGCGGACGGGUGAGUAACGCAUGGAAAUCUACCUUUCACUGGGGGAUAACAUCUGGAAACAGGUGCUAAUACCGCAUACGCCAUAUUGGGAAAGCUCCGGCGGUGAAAGAUGAGUCCAUGUCUGAUUAGCUAGUUGGUGGGGUAAAAGCCUACCAAGGCUACGAUCAGUAGCUGGUCUGAGAGGAUGAUCAGCCACACUGGAACUGAGACACGGUCCAG
rnacentral:rRNA from 1 species